UCCACUCUCGAAGGCCUGAAUUGC
rnacentral:piRNA from 1 species